UAGGGAAUCUUCCGCAAUGGACGCAAGUCUGACGGAGCAACGCCGCGGGAGUGAAGAAGGAUUUCGGUUCGUAAAACUCUGUUGUUAGAGAAGAACAGUGCAUAGAGUAACUGUUAUGCGUGUGACGGUAUCUAACCAGAAAGCCACGGCUAACUACGUGCCAGCAGCCGCGGUAAUACGUAGGUGGCAAGCGUUGUCCGGAUUUAUUGGGCGUAAAGCGAGCGCAGGCGGUUAGAAAAGUCUGAAGUGAAAGGCAGUGGCUCCACCAUUGUAGGCUUUGGAAACUGUUUAACUUGAGUGCAGAAGGGGAGAGUGGAAUUCCAUGUGUAGCGGUGAAAUGCGUAGAUAUAUGGAGGAACACCGGUGGCGAGAGCGGCUCUCUGGUCUGUAACUGACGCUGAGGCUCGAAAGCGUGGGGAGCGAACAGG
rnacentral:rRNA from 1 species